CCCGGCGUGCACCGCGUGGCUUUUGGGGGGAAGACACCCCCGCGGGCUGUGGCAGGAGGGCGGCGGUGGUCGGGGAAGGGGACGCCGACCAGAUAGUUGAAGUAUUGAUAACACCAAGGAAAUCUGUCACAGUUUGAAAAGAUAAAGUUUGAUUUCCCGACACUACAGAAAAAGGAGUAAAAAUGCGUCCGAUGCGAAUUUUUGUGAAUGAUGAUCGCCAUGUGAUGGCAAAGCAUUCUUCCGUUUAUCCAACGCAAGGGGAACUGGAGGCAGUCCAGAACAUGGUGUCACACACUGAGCGGGGCGCUCACAGCUGUGUCCGACUGGAUAGACGAGCAGGAAAAAGGCAGUGGCGAGAACGCCGAGUCUGACAGCAUGGACGUGCCCCCGGAGGAUGAGAGCAAAGAAGGGGCUGGGGAACAGAAGACUGAGCACAUGAUGAGAACCCUGCGGGGCGUGAUGCAGGUGGGCCUCGUGGCAAAGGGUCUUCUGCUCAAGGGGGACUUGGAUCUGGAGCUGGUACUGCUGUGUAAGGAGAAGCCCACGACUGCCCUCUUGGACAAGGUGGCUGACAACCUGGCCAUCCAGCUCGCUGCUGUAAUGGAAGACAAGUACAAAAUACUGCAAUCUGUCGAUGAUGCUGCCAUUGUGAUAAAAAACACAAAAGAGCCUCCGUUAUCUCUGACCAUCCACCUGACAUCCCCUGUUGUCAGAGAAGAAAUGGAAAACGUAUUAGCUGGAGAAACGCUAUCAGUCAACAAUCCCCCGGACGUUCUGGACAGGCAGAAAUGCCUUGCUGCCUUGGCGUCCCUCCAACAUGCCAAGUGGUUCCAGGCCAGAGCCAACGGGCUAAAGUCAUGUGUCAUUGUCAUCCUGGUCCUGAGGUACCUGUGCACCUGUGUGCCCACCUGGGGUCCCCUCCAAGGCUGGCCUCUGGACCUCCUGUGUGAGAAAUCCAUCGGCACAGCCAACAGACCCAUGGGGGCCGGCAAGGCCCUGCGGAGAGUGCUGGAGUGCCUGGCAUCGGGCAUCGUGAUGUCAGAUGGUUCUGGCAUUUAUGACCCUUGUGAAAAAGAAGCCACUGAUGCUAUUGGGCAUCUAGACAGACAGCAACGGGAAGAUAUCACACAGAGUGUGCAGCAUGCGCUGUGACUCGCUGUGUUUGGCCAGCUCCACAAAGUCCUGGGUAUGGACCCUCUGCCUUCCAAGAUGCCCAAGAAACCAAAGAAUGAAAACCCAGGGGACUACACUGUUCAAAUCCUCCCCAGCACCACCUAUGCUAUCACACCCAUGAAACGCCCGAUGGAGGAGGACGGGGAGGAGAAGUCUCCCAGCAAGAAGAAGAAGAAGAUUCAAAAGAAAGAGGAGAAGGCAGAGCCUCCCCAAGCUAUGAAUGCCCUGAUGAGGCUGAACCAGCUGAAGCCCGGCCUGCAGUACAAACUGGUCUCGCAGACCGGGCCUGUCCACGCCCCCAUCUUCACCAUGUCAGUGGAGGUCGAUGGCAAUUCAUGCGAGGCCUCUGGGCCCUCCAAAAAGACCACCAAGCUGCACGUGGCCGUUAAGGUGUUACAGGACAUGGGCUUGCUGACGGGUGCGGAGGGCAGAGACUCAAGCAAGGGGGAGGACUCGGUAGAGGAGACAGAGGCGAAGCCGGCCGUGGUGGCCCCUACCCCUGUGGUGGAAGCUGUGUCAACCCCCAGCGCUGCCUUUCCCUUGUAUGCUACUGCCGAGCAGGGGCCGAUCCUGACAAAGCAUGGCAAGAACCCGGUCAUGGAGCUGAACGAGAAGUGGCGAGGCCUCAAGUAUGAGCUCAUCUCUGAGACCGGGGGGGGGGGGGGGGUCAGCCACGACAAGCGCUUCGUCAUGGAGGUGGAGGUGGAUGGACAGAAGUUCCAAGGUAGCACAAUGAAGUGCCGCCACCCCCCAACCUUCGAGGGCGGGGACGAGGAGGGAACAUCCAAGGGCGAGGCCGAGGGCGAGGAUUUGGUGGCGCCAACCACCGAGGCUACAUGAAUGUUGGCGCUGGGUAUGGAAGCUACGGGUAUGGAGGCAACUCGGCGACAGCAGGCUACAGUCAGUUCUACAGGGCCCUGCCCCCACCCCGUCCACGUUGCUGUGUUGUGAGGUGCAGCGGGUCGCCUCCGUGGCCCGUCCUGUGACCCAUUAUUUAGCCGUGUUUGGGACUCCGUGUCUUCAAUGGUUUGUUAGUUGCCAUGACAACUUUGUCUGGGUAGAGUUUUGCGUUCUGCAGUUCAGUAUCCCUCUGUCUAUUUACAAUUGGUGUUCAUGUUAACUCAGUUUGUCUUUAA